UUGGGCAGCCUCCCCUGCCCCGGGCUCCCUUCCCCUUGCGGGGGGAAGGCAGGCUUCUGUUCCUCUGGACAGGCUUCUCUCGGGAGAUUCGAACUCCUGGAGCAAUGGAAUUUCUUGAAUGUCAUCAAAUGAAGUUAGACCCAGAUGUGGACUGUUCCUGCUUGAUAUGCCAGGAGUGAAGCUAGCUUUCUGUAGUUUCCCAUGCUGCAGUGAGAGAAGGAUUAAAAACUAAGCAAAUUAGGUUCCUUCAAAAUCUUCUCAAGGGAGUGUGGCAUCAUGAAGCCUUUCAUCAGGGGCCCCAGACUGGGCUCUACUUCAAACUUCUUCAGAAGAACAGAACAAACAUCCUCCUUCCACUGAGCCGGAUGUUUUCUGAAGGUAGAACAAGGUAUCUUGUUUCUUAUCAAAUGAGUUCAAGCUUCAUGGAGCAUAAGAUGGAGGAAAGCUGAGCUGGUGUGGCGCAUGACUACAUACUGAGUAUGAUCAAAUGCGUGAGAAAUUGGUGAUGCUGGACAGUAAAUAAGAUGCCCUUCUCUUCACAAAGCACUGCCCAAGU